rnacentral:rRNA from 1 species
UGGGGGAUAUUGCACAAUGGGGGGAACCCUGAUGCAGCGACGCCGCGUGGGUGAAGGAGUGCUUCGGCAUUGUAAAAGCCCUAUCGGCAGGGGAAGAAGCAAGACGGUACCUGACUAAGAAGCCCCGGCUAACUACGUGCCAGCAGCGCGGUAAUC